AUUAAAAUAAAGAAUAAUGUAAGUCGCUCUGGAUAAGAGCGUCUGCUAAAUGACGUAAAUGUAAGAGUGACUGAUGACGUCAUCCUAACUCCCAAGUUUAACACGUCACUUGUGGCUGUGCAGAGAAUCUCCGGUUUUCUAACAUUAUUAUUCUAUCUGUUUUAUGCUUCACUGUGCGUGAAUGAAAGAACAAGUUGUUGGGACCCGGCCUGGUUUGGUUCUCAGGUGAGGGUUGUUUCUUUUGAAUUAUCCUCUGAUCAGCCUGAGGAUAUUGGCUGAAGAUGAUGUAAAACAGGGGUGUCAAACUCAUUCCAUGGAGGACCUAGUGUCUGCUCGUUUUAGAUUUUUCCUUUCAAUUAAGACCUAGACAACCAGGUGAGGGGGGUGCCUUACUAAUUAGCGACCUUAAUUCAUCAAUCAAGUACAAGGGAGGAGCGAAAACCCGCAGACACUCGGCUCUCCGUGGAAUGGGUUGGACACAUGAUGUAAAGGAAAUAAAUAAUACAAAACGUUCAUUAAUCAGCUUACAUUUAAAGCAAAAAAACUAUGAUAGUGCUUUACCUUUUUGCCUCAUGGAGGGCCAACUUUGGCAGAUAUCUUUAGUGGUCCUAAAUGGUCAGCACCAUUCAUGUAUAGGUAUGUCCUCUUCCUUUUCACUAUUGGGCCUAUCCACAAUCAUGUGCCUGAUGAGCAGGCAGUGACCCACAUAUACUGUGUCAUGUUUUUCCAUCAGAGAGAUCACAUGAAAGAGCUUUUCCCCCAGUACAAUGAGAAGAGAAUGUGAUAGGUUAGCCAAAAGGCUUUUGUUGGAAGUUAUUCUCUUUGAAGAUUGAUGAGAUAAGAGUGUUUAUAAAUUGGAAAUCUGUUACACAGUGAUAGAUAACUCUAUUGUUAAAACACGUAUAUGGUACAGGGCUAGGUGUUUUUGAAUGAAAAUUGAAUUAAUGUGAUUUACCCAAAUAGAUGCUUGGUAUCCCUGGUAGGAUAGAAAAUUAAACAUCAAAUAAAGUUUGCCUGCAAGGGUU